AUUGAACGCUGGCGGCAUGCCUUACACAUGCAAGUCGAACGGCAGCACGGGUGCUUGCACCUGGUGGCGAGUGGCGAACGGGUGAGUAAUACAUCGGAACAUGUCCUGUAGUGGGGGAUAGCCCGGCGAAAGCCGGAUUAAUACCGCAUAUGAUCCACGGAUGAAAGCGGGGGACCUUCGGGCCUCGCGCUAUAGGGUUGGCCGAUGGCUGAUUAGCUAGUUGGUGGGGUAAAGGCCUACCAAGGCGACGAUCAGUAGCUGGUCUGAGAGGACGACCAGCCACACUGGGACUGAGACACGGUCCAGACUCCUACGGGAGGCAGCAGUGGGGAAUUUUGGACAAUGGGCGAAAGCCUGAUCCAGCAAUGCCGCGUGUGUGAAGAAGGCCUUCGGGUUGUAAAGCACUUUUGUCCGGAAAGAAAUCCUUGACUCUAAUACAGUCGGGGGAUGACGGUACCGGAAGAAUAAGCACCGGCUAACUACGUG
rnacentral:rRNA from 1 species